UACGGAGGGUGCGAGCGUUGUCCGGAAUCACUGGGCGUAAAGGGCGCGUAGGCGGCGCGGGGAGUCAACGGUGAAAGCUCGGCGCUCAACGCCGAGUCGGCCGUCGAUACUCCCCGUGCUCGAGCACUGUAGAGGCAGGUGGAAUUCCGGGGUGUAGCGGUGGAAUGCGUAGAGAUCCGGAAGAACACCGGUGGCGAAGGCGGCCUGCUGGG
rnacentral:rRNA from 1 species